AUUGAACGCUGGCGGCCGGCCUAACACAUGCAAGUCGAGCGAGCGGCGGACGGGUGAGUAAUGUAUGGGGACUGCACGAUAGAGGGGGAUAACUACUGGAAACGGUGGCUAAUACCGCAUACUCUCGGAGAUCUAAUAUGGGAUUAGCUAGUAGGUGGGGUAAAGGCUCACCUAGGCGACGAGCUCUAGCUGGUCUGAGAGGAUGAUCAGCCACUCUGCGGCUUGGACACGGCCCAGACUCCGACGGAGGCAGCAGUGGGGAAUAUUGCACAAGGGGCGCAAGCCUGAUGCAGCCAUGCCGCGUGUAUGAAGAAGGCCUUAGGGUUGUAAAGUACGUUCAGCGGGGAGGCGUUACCCGCAGAAGAAGCACCGGCUAACUCCGUGCCAGCAGCCGCGGUAAUAC
rnacentral:rRNA from 1 species